CCGGCGACCGGCGCACGGGUGAGUAACACGUAUGCAACCUGCCCUUUACUAUGGGACAGCCCGUCGAAAGGCGGAUUAAUACCGUAUGUUGUCAUGUUGAUGCANAUUUUCAUGACCAAAGGCUUCGGCCGGUAAAGGAUGGGGAUGCGUCUGAUUAGCUUGCCGGCGGGGUAACGGCCCACCGGGGCGACGAUCAGUAGGGGUUCUGAGAGGAAGGUCCCCCACAUUGGAACUGAGACACGGUCCAAACUCCUACGGGAGGCAGCAG
rnacentral:rRNA from 1 species